CCGUCCACCCCUCACAGCAAACAUAGCUUAUCGCCAUCUUCGGACAACAACCAGAGAGAGAACUGAUGACUACAAGAACUCGCCAGCAAUUCGUUCGAGUGUUGAGGAGUGCUCCCGCGAUAGAAUUCAAGAACUGUGCUUAGCUCGCAAUCUGCUGAGUGCUGAGGAUUCC